CCUGGUUUUCUCAUAGUCAGUAACAAUAAAAGAAACAUACAUAAACUGAUCAUGUGACUACAACAAGGGAUUACAACUCUUAUAAGUCAAGCACAAAGCUACACACUAUACAUUAUCUCUUUACAUGUACAUGUCCACACUAGCUAUUACAUAAUUCUUCUUCUUGCAAACCCUGCUGGACUCCCUCUGGACUCUGAACCUGCAAACCUGGGGGAUAGGGGAGAGGGAUGAGCUAUACAAGCCCAAUGAGCAGAACGAUAUAAACCAUAAGUUGAAAACAUGAUCUCAUGGAAUGCACUACAUCACAUCAUCUCAGGGAUCAGACAUGACCACCAACAAUCCCACUCAAAGGAUGCCUGGCCUAGCCAGGUCUUACAACCUUAAUCUGCCUAGCCUGGCCAGGUCUUACCACUCUGCCUGCCUGGCCCAGCCAGGUCUUACUAUCUCUGCUGCCUGAUCUAGUCAGGUCUUACCUACAGAUGGCUGCCUGGCCCGGCCAGGUCUUAUAACAGAGUUUGGGCUAUUGGAGUCGCCUUGGUCUAUCCACAGCCUCAUACACAUCGUAUUAUGCAAUGCGUCAACUUCGUGAAACUAAUGCAAAUACCCUACUAUACUCUUAUGAUGCAUGACAUAUGCUCAAAGCAGUUUAGUUCUGAAAAGAAAAGUUCCACUCACCUCUGGCUGAC
rnacentral:lncRNA from 1 species